CUCUCUCAGAGGUAAGAAUAUUUUCCACCAUUGCUGCUCAGACGUAUCGCUUUAUGAAGGAGGUGGAAGGAGGUCAGAUCAUACUCAGCACUUCUGAGUGGGGAAGGAAGAGGGAGGACUAGGACCUGGACUCAAGGAUUCUGCUCCAGACCUUUACUUGCACCACAAGCCUUCCUCCUCUGCCUCAUCCAUGCUCCCUAGUAUGCCGAGGAUGCAGCCCCAGCCAGAGGCUUCAGAAAGCUUUAAGGAUUCUCGUGUUCCUUGGAAUCAAGCCUGGAAAUGGAAAUCUGGUGUAGUCUCAUGUUGUGAGGCAAUGCAGCCCAGCCUUUGAAAACAGAAAGACCUGCCAUUUGUGUUCCUGAUUAUUAAGUCACCAGAGUCCAAGCCAGAGAUGCUGCCUUCUGUUCCCUCUGUGAUUGCUCCCUUGGGGUGACCCGGUGGCACUGGGUCCUGGAGACAGCAAGGAAAAAGGACUCUCCUCAACUACCUGGGCCUCCAGUUCAUUCCUUAUUUCCCAAAACAGCUCGGCAAACUUCUCAGAAUCAGCAGCAUUCAGAAAUGAUCCCAUCUUCAUUAAUCCAUACCCUCCACAAAACACAGUCUGCCGAAUGUGAGUUAACUGUUCCAACAAUGAGACAGAAACCUUUUUGGAGCUGAUGGCCACUUCUCUCCACAUCCACUAACACUCCUACUCCAUCCCCAAAAUUUCAGAGACCUGAGAGCUCAGUUUCAGCCUGGUCACACAUGGAAUCUGAGUCAACUGUUCAUUAAUCAAAACAAACUAACCCCUGGCGUAGAGCCUGCCCACAGCCAGUGACCACAUGCUUGAAGGAUAAAGGACAGAUAACAUAUGGAUUUGCAGAGGUCAAGGGCCUCCAAGAAAGGAUGUGAAUAUGAUUUGUUGGAGAGUAUUUACAUUAGUUUCUUCUCCCUCUUUCUUACCCAUGCCCUGUGAUAUUUAAGGUUUUCUAACAAUAAGGAAAAAUUAUAGCAAGGUCAAGGUACAGCAUUAUUACAACUUAUAUCUCAGUUUGGAUUUAUAGGACAUGU